UUCAAGUGUCUGUCAUUAUUCUGUCAGUAUGGAGCUCAGUCAACUUCCUCUUGUGCUCUUGCUGAUUUCAAACAUCCACUCUGAACACACUGAAGACUAUCCUAAAGCCAGUGUGAGGAUUACUCCUGAUCUGCAUGUGUUCAGAGGAGAGUCAGUCUCUAUCAGAUGUGACAUUAAUGCUGAAGGAGUCUCUAGCUGGCUGUACGGCUGGUAUAAAGAAGGUUUAGAUGGUGCAUUCAGUGGUUUACAGGAAUACACAAUAAGGUCUGUUACUGAGUCUGACGCAGGUAAAUACUCCUGUAACGGCACUGAGAGUAAAGGUUCACGCAGAUCACAAAUGAGUGAUGCAGUUGCACUGACAGUAUCAGACAGACCCCAGACAGCUUUAAGUGUUUCUCCACAGAACUGGUUGACUGAAGGAGAUUCAGUGACUCUGAUCUGUGAGGUUGACGGCUCUUCUACAGGCUGGACAUUCAACUGGUACAUGCUAAUGCUUUCUGACAAUCGUUAUCAUCAUAAACCUCUCUCAGACAGCAGUAGAGGAGCUGGAGGAAAAUACACUGUCAGUUCUGUUGCUCUAAAACACACAGGAGUUUAUUUGUGUGAAAUAGAGAGAGGAAAACCAACAUAUAAAACUUACAGCAACACACUGCCACUGUGGGUCACUGCAAGUGUUUCUCCUCCAGUCUCUCUGGUCAUCAGUCCCAGCAGAGCUCAACACUUUGAAGAUGACUCUCUUUCUCUGAGCUGUGAAGACAAGAGUAACUCUACUGGAUGGAGAGUCAGAAGAUACACAGACAGCAGGCAGAUGAGUGAUUGUUCAUCACAAACAAGAUCUACAUGUACAGUCAGCCUCACCACAUCAGACACUGGAGUUUACUGGUGUCAGUCUGAAUCUGGAGAGAACAAUAAUCCUGUUAAUAUCACUGUACAAUCUGGUGUGAUUCUGGAGAGUCCUGUUCAUCCUGUGACUGAAGGAGAUACUCUGACUCUACACUGCUUAUAUAAAUCUACAACUCCAGCAAAGCUCAGAGCUGAUUUCUAUAAGGAUGGAUCACUCGUACAGAAUCAAACCUCAGAGAUGAUCAUCACUGCUGUCUCAAAGUCACAUGAGGGUUUCUACUACUGCAAACACACAGAAGGAGAGUCACCCAAGAGCUGGAUCUCAGUCAGAGUGUCUGGUUCAGCAUCUCAGAUCUCUGUCUUCAACAUACUCAGUUCUGGUCUGGCAGUUUGUCCAUAUCUGCUAGUGACAGUUGUGCUGAUUGUCAAAUGCUGUAGAAUGAGAGGAAACACGACUGAAUCUUCUCCGUCUAGAAGUCUUGAGGCUUUAACACAGUCUGUGUCUUCAAGUGUCUGUCAUUAUUCAGUCAGUAUGAAACUCAGUCAACUUCCUCUUGUGCUCUUGCUGAUUUCAAACAUCCACUCUGAACAUGUUGAAGACUAUCCUAAAGCCAGUGUGAGGAUUACUCCUGAUCUGCAUGUGUUCAGAGGAGAGUCAGUCACUCUCAGAUGUGACAUUAAUGCUGAAGGAGUCUCUAGCUGGCUGUACAGCUGGUAUAAAGAAGGUUCAGAAGGUGCAUUCAGUGGUUUACAGGAAUAUAUAUUCAAUGUUACUGAGUCUUAUGCAGGUAAAUACUCCUGUUCUGGCACUGAGAGUAAAGGUUCACGCAGAUCACAAAUGAGUGAUGCAGUUGCACUGACAGUAUCAGACAGAGCCCAGACAGCUUUAAGUGUUUCUCCACAGAACUGGUUGACUGAAGGAGAUUCAGUGACUCUGACUUGUGAGGUUAACGGCUCCUCUACAGGCUGGACAUUCAACUGGUACAUGCUAAUGCUUUCUGACAAUAGUUAUCAUCAUAAACUUCUCUCAGACAGCAGUAGAGGAGCUGGAGGAAAAUACACUGUCAGUUCUGUUGCUCUAAAACAAACAGGAGUUUAUUUGUGUGAAAUAGAGAGAGGAAAACCAGCCUAUACAACUUUCAGCAACACACUGCCACUGUGGGUCACUGCAAGUGUUUCUCCUCCGGUCUCUCUGGUCAUCAGUCCCAGCAGAGCUCAACACUUCACAUCUGACUCUCUUUCUCUGAGCUGUGAAGACAAGAGUAACUCUGCUGGAUGGAGAGUCAGAAGAUACACAGAGAGCUGGUGGAUGAGCAAUUGUUCAUCACAAACAGGAUCAACAUGUACAGUCAGCCUCACCACAUCAGACACUGGAGUUUACUGGUGUCAGUCUGAAUCUGGAGAGAAAUAUAAUCCUGUUAAUAUCACUGUACAAUCUGGUGUGAUUCUGGAGAGUCCUGUUCAUCCUGUGACUGAAGGAGAUCCUCUGACUCUACACUGCUUAUAUAAAUCUACAACUCGAGCAAAGCUCAGAGCUGAUUUCUAUAAAGAUGGAUCACUCGUCCAGAAUCAAACCUCAGAGAUGAUCAUCACUGCUGUCUCAAAGUCACAUGAGGGUUUCUACUACUGCAAACACCCAGAAGGAGAGUCACAAAAGAGCUGGAUCUCAGUCAGAGACAGUGAAAGUGGAGCUGAACUCACCUAUGCUGAGGUUGAGCUCAAAUCUACAAAGAAAAUGAAGGGAAACACAGAUAAAGGAGUCAGUAUGGAGCUCAGUCAACUUCCUCUUGUGCUCUUGCUGAUUUCAAACAUUCACUCUGAAAACACUGAAGAAAACCCUAAAGCCAGUGUGAGGAUUACUCCUGAUCUGCAUGUGUUCAGAGGAGAGUCAGUCACUCUCAAAUGUGACAUUAAUGCUGAAGGAGUCUCUAGCUGGCAGUACACCUGGUAUAAAGAAGGUUCAGAUGAUGCAUUUAGUGAUUUACAGGAAUACACAAUAAGGCCUGUUACUCAGUCUGAUGCAGGUAAAUACUCCUGUUCUGGCACUGAGAGUAAAGGUUCACGCAGAUCACAAAUGAGUGAUGCAGUUGCACUGACAGUAUCAGACAGACCCCAGACAGCUUUAAGUGUUUCUCCACAGAACUGGUUGACUGAAGGAGAUUCAGUGACUCUGACCUGUGAGGUUAACGGCUCCUCUACAGGCUGGACAUUCAGCUGGUACAUGCUAACUCAGUCAGGCCAGGACAAUACACCGCUCUCAGACAGCAGUAGAGGAGCUGGAGGAAAAUACACUGUCAGUUCUGUUACUCCAAAACACACAGGAGUUUAUUUGUGUGAAGCAGAGAGAGGAAAACCAGCCUAUAAAACAGACAUGAGCAACAAACAGCCACUGUGGGUCACUGGUGUUUCUCCUCCAGUGUCUCUGGUCAUCAGUCCCAGCAGAGCUCAACACUUUACAUCUGACUCUCUUUCUCUGAGCUGUGAAGACAAGAGUAACUCUACUGGAUGGAGAGUCAGAAGAUACACAGACAGUGGGAGGAUAGAGGAUUGUUCAUCACAAACAGGAUCUACAUGUACAAUCAGCUUCAUUUACACAUUCCAUACUGGAGUUUACUGGUGUCAGUCUGAAUCUGGCAAGAAAUAUAAUCCUGUUAAUAUCACUGUACACUCUGGUGUGAUUCUGGAGAGUCCUGUUCAUCCUGUGACUGAAGGAGAAACUCUGACUCUACACUGCUUAUAUAAAUAUAAAACUCCAGAAAAGCUCAGAACUGAUUUCUAUAAAGAUGGAUCACUCAUCCAGAGUCAAACCUCAGAGAUGAUCAUCACUGCUGUCUCAAAGUCACAUGAGGGUUUCUACCACUGUAAACACCCAGAAGGAGAGUCACCCAAGAGCUGGAUCUCAGUCAGAGCCUCGAGAUCUGAUGGUGUCAGUUCUGUGAUUAAUGGAGUGACUGCAGGACUUUCUGUCAUUGUUUUGGUCUUCAUCUUCUUGGUUCUGCUGUGCUGCUACAGACACAAGAAAGGUGUAAGAUCUCCGUCUCCCUCUAGUGUCAAUCAGACAUCACAGCAGAAGAAGAGUGAAGCGGGACACCAGACACUGCUCUCUGGAACUCCUCUUAAAGACAUAAGCAGCACCGACACUGAAAGUGGAGCUGAACUCACCUAUGCUGAGGUUGAGCUCAAAUCUACAAAGAAAAUGAAGGAAAACACAGAUAAAGGGAACAACACUGAGAAUUCUGGCUGUGUUUACUCUAAACUGAAGCUGGAAACACAUCAGAGUGCUGGAUCUAGUGAUGGGACGUACGCUCAGGAAGGCCAGUGAGGAGACCAUUGCAGUAAUCCACCCUAAUGCUGAUAAAAGCAUGAACAAAAGUCUUCACUGGAAACAAAGCAUCUAAAUCUUGUGUAACCCACCGGUCUUACACCAACCAACCUGCUCCGAGCUGGGAUCGAACAAGGGAUUUACUGCAUGGGGGUCGGUUGCUCUACCAAGGAGGCUAAAGACUAUGGCCUCUAGCAUCUGAGCACCUUUUAGAGGUCAGAGGAGCGAGGUUUACCUGCACACCACUUCACUAGCUGGCCUCUACACUUGCAAUGUUUUUGAGAUGAUAGUAUGCUAUACUUAGUAUGAUUAUAUCUCAAAUUUAGUUACAGUGUUAUUUCAGUGUAUAAAUAUAUUCCCUAUUGUGUUCAGUCCUUCGUCAUACUAAGUGAUGCAUAUAUUCUGAGGAUUUUCAGUGUUAAAUACAAAAAUCUUUUUUGUUCAUUCUGCAUAAUGCAUCUUAGUCCUGUUUAUUUGCCAGUUAUUUUUAGUCAGCAAAGAGUUAGUAAGUGCCAGUGAACUUUGAUUCGCCAAUAAAUGACUCUAAAAGA